GGGUGAAUAGCUCAGUUGGUAGAGCGUCCGCUUUGCAACCACUAUACGAGUGGUCCAGCUUGUGGAAGGUCUAGAGUUCGAUUCCCUAUUCAUCCA